rnacentral:miRNA from 1 species
CAGGUCCAAUCUCACAUGUCCU